GCGGCGGACGGGUGAGUAACACGUGGGUAACCUGCCCAUAAGACUGGGAUAACUCCGGGAAACCGGGGCUAAUACCGGAUAACAUUUUGAACCGCAUGGUUCGAAAUUGAAAGGCGGCUUCGGCUGUCACUUAUGGAUGGACCCGCGUCGCAUUAGCUAGUUGGUGAGGUAACGGCUCACCAAGGCAACGAUGCGUAGCCGACCUGAGAGGGUGAUCGGCCACACUGGGACUGAGACACGGCCCAGACUCCUACGGGAGGCAGCAGUAGGGAAUCUUCCGCAAUGGACGAAAGUCUGACGGAGCAACGCCGCGUGAGUGAUGAAGGCUUUCGGGUCGUAAAACUCUGUUGUUAGGGAAGAACAAGUGCUAGUUGAAUAAGCUGGCACCUUGACGGUACCUAACCAGAAAGCCACGGCUAACUACGUGCCAGCAGCCGCGGUAAUACGUAGGUGGCAAGCGUUAUCCGGAAUUAUUGGGCGUAAAGCGCGCGCAGGUGGUUUCUUAAGUCUGAUGUG
rnacentral:rRNA from 1 species